rnacentral:lncRNA from 1 species
UGGGCUCAUGGUCUCACUGGCUUCAAGAGUGAAGCUGCAGACCUUCGCGCCCCACCCAGGAAGCCCAGAGCUCAUGAAAAAAACCGUGAGGAGGAGGCAUCUGUGCGGCUUUGGAGACCAGCCUCAGGCUACAGGUUGCAAGAGGAAGCCAUGGUCUUCUGAAGAGCAAGUCCAGGGCAGUUGUCGUGGCUCACACCUAUAAUCCCAACAGUUUUGGAGGCCGAGGUGGGAGGAUCACUGGAGCCCAGGAGUUUGAGAACAGGACAAUAAAGUGAGACCCCAUCUCUACAAAAAUAAAAAAAAAUUAGCCAGGCAUGCUAGCGUGCGCCUGUGGUCCCAGCUAAAUGGAAGGCUGAGGCAGGAGGAUCACCUGAGCUCAGGAGAUCAAGGCUGCAGUGAGCCAUGUUUGUGCCACUGCACACCAGCCUAGGUGACACAGCAAGACACUGUCUCAAAAAAUAAAGAAAAUACGUGCAUAAAUAUAAAAAGGAGACCAGGUCCGCAGCUGGAGGGCUGGGUGGCAGUGGGAAAUGAAAAUCCAAGGAGCAAAACCAAAAAAGUGUGCAAAAGCCAGGCACGGCAGAGAGCAAGCCAUGGCCCCGGCGAUCGCUGAGAGGGCGGCGCUGCCCCGUCCGCCCCCAGACAUCGGCAUCCUCCCCUCCCAUAGGCCCUCAGACUCAGCAAGUUAAAAACUGAACCCGGGCUGGGCAUGGUGGCUCACACCUCUAAUCCUAGCACUUUGGGAGGCUGAGGCAGGCCAGAUCACAUGAGACCAGGAGUUCGAGACCAGCCUGGUCUAUAUCGUGAAACCCCGUCUUUACUAAAAAUACAAAAAUUACCAGGGUGUGGUGGCGCACGUCUGUAAUCCCAGCUACUCAGGAGGCUAAGGCACGAGAAUCGCUUGAACCCAGGAGGUGGAGGUUGCAGUGAGCCACUGUGCUCCAGCAUGGGUGACAGAGGGGGACUGUCUCAAAAAGGCAAAAACAAAAAAACCAAAACCGAACCCAAUCAGGCGCUGUGACUCAUUCAUAUAAUCCCAACGCUUUUGGAGGUUGAGGCGGGAGGAUCACUUGAGCCCAGGAGGUCGAGGCUGCAGUGCACUGUGAUCGUG